CCUAGGUGAAGGGAGAACAGGUGGCGAGGGAAAGGGAAAAGGCAGAAUAUAAAUUUUUUUUUCCCCUACUGGGUUCUGUGGGCGUGGCUUGGGGGGGUUGUGACUGAGUGGGCAUGGCUGUGAGUGACAUUGAGUUGGCCACGCCCACUCAGUCACAGACACACCCACCCACCAAGCCACACCCACAGAGUAGGUAGCAAAAAAAUUUAGAUUUCACCCCUGUGUUUAGGAUAUUGUCAUGAAAUAGAAUACAGCAGAGUAAAACUCUGAAAGUAGAUUUCAGCAUACCCCUGUUGAACAAGUGAAGUAACAAGCAAUAAUAUUCAACCAAAAAAACCCAAACAAACAGAAUACAGAGAAGUCACAUAACAAAAAGUGGGUAGAAAAAAUUAAUGAGGCAGAAAAAUAAAAUUCUAGCUUCCCAUUUCAGUUUUAGCCAUCUCCCCAUUCUCCAAGAUUACCAGAUCUAAGAUCCUAUACUGCGAGCACAAGAAAACAGAGAAAAGUAUUUCUACUAGCAAUUUAAUUAAUAAAAUAUGCUAAAUAGAGAUAAUAUUAAAGAAAUGUCACAAAAUACAAUGUAGGCCCAAUGCUGAAGUCGCAAAUCAACUUUUAUAUCCCUAAUUCUGUUUUGAUUAUAGAUGACAAAUAAUCCUUAAAUUUAUGUGAAAUACUCAAUAAUUCCUUCCUUGUCUUACCAUCUAGAAUUACAUUUCUCAAUUUAUAGAAACAGAAAUAUAUCGCUAAGGUAAGGGUUGUGUAGUGCACACUGUUAAUUAUUUUUUUUACUUAAGUAUCAUAUCUGGAUUACAAAUUGCAGAGGUACAGAAAAUGUACAAAAGGAAAACAAAAAUAAGCAGUAGGCCAAAGCAAAUUCCCUUCUUUGAAAGUUUGGGUUUAUUACCUUAGAAAAAAGCAAUUAAAGAAGGACUUCAUAGAGGUGUAUAUAAAUUAUAUGCAAUAAAAUUUAUAGGGAGAAUUUUUUUUUGUUUCUUUUAAUAAUAGAACCCAGUGCCAAUGAGAAAACAGUGACGAACUACUUCAUUAAGCUGAUGCUUGAAAUGUAGAAUUUACUGCUUAAAAUUAAAUGAUGACUUGUUACUUGGAUGGCUUUUGAAGACGAUUAGAUAAAUUCAUGGAGAAUAUGGCUAAUGGAAGAAACAAAUAUUCAAAAUGUCUCUACAAAAUCAAUGAGGUGACAAAGUCUACUCAGAAGUUUUUUAAAAGGUUAUGUGCCACAUAUCAAGGCAGGGAACCAUCAUUUUGGGGAUUUUCCCCCUUGCUUCUAUUGUAUCCCCAGGACUAAAGAUACACCAAGAUGCAUCAUCAUUCCUCUGUGCCUGCUAAAACCAAAUGGAAAUCCACUGUGAAAUAACAUGUAACAUCUAUUGGGAUUUCACUUAAUGUUUUAUUAUUGAUUUGAGAGAUUUCGUGGAGAUAAAAGAUCACUUGUCAAUUAAGAUCAAUGAAUGGAAAAUCUUUAUACUACUGUAUUUUGAAAGAAAGAAUUUGCACAACAAUCAAUUGGUUGCAAGGUUUCAUUUGGUUACAAUUCUUGGCAAGUAUGGAAAUUUCAGCCCAUGAGCAUCACCUGGCUUAGGGCUGUCAAACCCAUGCAGUUGGGCCGGAUGCGGGCCAUGCUGACCACGCCCGGUUUAUCAAAGGUCAGAACACCUGUAGUACAUCCUCCUCAAUUUGGCAAUAAUGGUUUUAAAAACUCUAGUUGAAGACUCUGGUGUGAUACCAUCAAAUUUGUUAAGAUCACUUAACUUCAACAUUUCCUCUAAUUUCUGAAGUUAUUAUUGUGGCAUAAGGUUUUAUAUAUGACAAUAGCUAAUUGUGUACUGAUCUAAAAUAGAAUUGGAACAUCUCUCUCUAAAUCUGCUCCAAGAACCUUUCACAAACUGGUUCACUCCUAUUGCUUUGCCUACAAUCUCUAUCAUUUCCAAUAACUGAUCACACUGUGGAGGCACACAGGACAAAACAAAUGGUAGAACUUAAGACGCAGAAGGCUACCGCACAUUUUUCAAGGUUUCAGGAAAACAUUUACAAUUUUUCUGAGAUAAUUUAGAUGACAGUCCUAAAAUUUGGUAUCUUAUGUAUAAGGCAUACAUUAUGAUAAGACUUAGAACUAGUUGGCAUUAAUCAAUGAAUUGUAUGGUAUUUGCCUAUAUUAGUAAAUAAAUGUAAUAAUAAAUAUGUGUAAGAGAGAAAUUAGUCAGAUUUUUCCCUCUUGUUUAAACUCAUUCAUUUAAUCUGCACAACAGUUCCUGAAAGACAGCACCCAUUCUGCAUACAGCUUUUCACCACUGAACUGGUCAAGUUCCCAGUGGAUUUUAUCCAAAGUCAUUCACCACAAAACAUAGCAAUAUAGUUUUAUGAUUAACUAAUUAAAUACACUAUUUAAUUAUGAUUUAUUUAAUUCAUAGAGAUUUCAGCCUUGUCUGGUGAAUUUCAAAAAUAUGAUUGAUAGCACAUGACUAGUUUGAAUAUGAAAAUAGGAGCCCUGAACAAAAUGUCAAAAGCUUGCAUAGAAAUUACAAUUAUUACAAUUACAAAUAUUAUACCUUUCUGACCUAUUUAUAUUUUCAUCAGAAUUUUUAUAACCCAAAAGGUGUAAAAUACUUAUUAUACAGAGUAUAUAAAUAAUUAUUUCCUAAUAUAUGUUUUUAUGUUAAUACUCAUUCUGAUAGUGGCCCUACAGAGGUCAUUCCAUAAUAAGCUAAAUGGAGCACAACAAAUGUAGUAUUUAGCAUUUAAUAAGUCAGGUUUUUAAAAAUAUGCAUGCUUUCUUCAUUUUAAAAUAAUGAUUAAAAAGAUAAGAAAGUGAAAUAAGAGAAAUAUCAACAGACACACAAGCAGUUCCACUUGAUAGUCUCCACUGAUGUUUUAAGUAGACUAUUUCCAUGUCUAUAUUCCUAAAUAUGGCUCUGCAAAGUAUUCUGUGUACAUCCUCAGUUCAAGCCAGGAAAGAAAAUCACUAAAAGAAUAAACAUGACUAAAGUCUCUUUACAAUAUAACAGCCAGACUUGUCACAGUGAUUUACAUCACAGACCUUGUCUUCCACACAAUGCAGAAUCACUUCCUGGAGAAAAAUGGAAAGGGUGGGGAGGGAAAAAAACCCUGUUUGUUACUAUGGAGACACCUUUAAAAUCAGAGGUUUUUCACUUAAAGAAAAUAGGUGGGCAGGGGGAAUUUUUCACUCAGGAAAUUCUCCUUUGAAAUGAGGCAGUGGUAGGAAAGAAAAGUUCUAAAAGGGAGGUUCCUAAAAGAGAAUCCAGAAAGGUAAGACACCUAUAGGAAAAUGCAAAACCUUUACUGCCAGUUUCCUGGUGGUGCACAAACUCUGAUCAAACAUUACAACAUAUUCCAGAAGGUAAAUCCAAUUCUUGGGGGAGACCACAAAAUACAUCUGCAAUUUUGUUUCUACAAGCCUAUCCAUUACUUUUACCUAAAUACUUACAAUUCACUGUUUUUGCUAGCAUGCUUCUGUAUUGUACAGCACGGAAUGCUGAAAAAACACAUUUACAGGAAUAUUUCUUUAAUUAAAAAGUCCUCAACUUAUUAUAACAUACAAUUUUUCAAAGUCCCUUAACUUAUUCCUUGUCAAAUUAUACUCAAGAGAUGAAGAAAAUGAAAAUCUGAAAAAUUGGUUGUAUUCUUUCUGGUUGAUUCAUUAUAAAGAGUUUUUGUUAAGCAUUUGCCAUGCAAUGUUGUGAAAGGCCACUCAAAAGGCUGCAUCUGCAAACUAAUGAUAUGAGGUUUAACUCCAGAUUUGACGGCAGCUCAAUUUACACAGGAAGAGGCAUGUAUGUUUUCCAUAAUGUAUCCAGUGGUCUCUUUUCUGCAGAACAGAGCUCUAGUCAUGGAAAAUAAACAUUGACAUUAAGCAACAGUCAAGUUACCUCUAUCUUUUUGGGUUUUUUAAAAAAAAUAUUGACCUUUAUUGCCACAAGCUUGUUGGUUGUUGAUCUACAUGGAGGAAGAGAAGUGCAAACUGAGACAGAUACAGCAGAUUCACCACCUUCAAAUGCCUCUUCCUCUUCCUUCAAACUGUGCAUUCAAGUACAUCUGCUUCAAAGGGAAUUUUAAUUUGAUAUUUAUUACUGUUUAUUCACUAAAGACCUUCAGCACUGUCCUUUAUUUUCACUUAAACCUCACAGAAUAUAUUUUGAAUUAAUUAAGCCACCUAGAUCUUAGGAAAUCAGGCAAGAUUUUCACUUGCACCAGUUUUGUACUGCAGUAAUCAACAGAAGUUCAAAUAGUUAUUUGUUUAAAAUGGCAUCACAUGCAUGAAUAAGGAGAUAUUAAAUUCUUAUUGUUGCAUUAUGGUGUUAAAAGGAAACACAAGUUCAGAAUUAGUUUCUCUAAUAGCUGGCAUCUCUAUUCUAUCAGACCAGGAAGACCUGUAACAAUUGGUCCCGUCCUCUUCCCUCUGCAGCAAUCACAUGCUAAGUCUUCAGUCAAAUAUCUAUACCUCUGAGUGCAGGGGGAAUAUAAUUUUUUUAAAACCCAUACAACUUUGUAUUCACUUGUUGAUCUUUGCCACCCUUGGCAAACAAAAAAAGCAACAACAACCAAGGGUUCAAAAACAAGUACCAAAGCAGGCUUGAGAAAAUGGAUUUUGCAAUGCCCCUUCAUUAACAUCACACUGAUAAACAGUCCAUACAAAAAUAAACAAACAAUUAAAGACUAAGUCCUCCCUCUUCUUUUUUGCCUUCUCGUGAUAUCUGUUCUGUUCCCCACCACCACCUCAGUCCGGGAGACAUGUGAACUGACUCAAUUAGCCAGCAAUUUAGUCCACGGCAGCUAUCAGCUCUGGCAGCAGACCAGCGAACGUCUGCCAAGGUUUUCUUUAUUUUCCCUGAUGUUACCGGAGCAACCAGGAAAUCAGGAACAAACAGUAAUCCAGGCCAAAUGCUCAGUCAAAUAGUUCAGUUCAAGUUUUCUCCAGUCAGUUUGCUUUGUCCGUCACGAAGUAGUAGAGCAGCCCCUCUUACUUUUAUACCCUGUGGGGUGUGGCUCCGUGACUCAGCACUCUCUAGGCCUGCCCCACCCCUUCUUUUGUUGUUCCCACCUCUCGUCUACGAAACCUGGGAUCUAACCAGGACUGAUUGUCCACAGCUGGGUCUGGAAGCAUUGCCUGGGUGGGGGGAAGAUACAGGAGACAGAGGCCUCAUCACCUCCUCCACUUGGCCUGCCUCUGGCUCCUGCAGCUGACGGCCCUUCCCCCUCACUCUCUGAGUCACUUUCUGGAAGGGGGCCAGGCCGUGGGGGGGGGGGGCUGGAGCCACAACAAUAUCUCAUAAAUUCUUGCAAGCAAAAGCAGUCGAUUUUGAGAGUCCAUGAGGGAUUUCUUUGUGAAAGGGAAUCUCACACUCCCUAGGUCUACACUGCUAACUUAUUUUUUCCUUCCCCAUUACCCGUUUACUCCACUCCUUUCCCAUUUCUCACUCUUCACCCCUUAUCCCAAGUAGGGAGAAAAGAAUUUCCUCCUUUUUUAUUGGGAGCUAGGCACAAUUAGAUGAAUUACCAGCUGAGGAUAUAAGUGAGGAAUUAUAUUCAUGGGUCUUACCAAAACAGGCAUCACGCUCCCAAUAUGGAAAUUUUCCUUUUUCUACCCACCUCAUUUUUAGUGAUUGUUUAGAUUACUUCCUAAGCAAUAGGAUCCCAGACACUCUUGUCUGGACCUAAAAGCAUUUGCAAUACUAUAUACUUGCUGGCUGGUCUAUCACUUUGAUGUAAACAACCAGACCUGGUUUCCCAUGACUAAUCUCAAUGCUAAUAGAACAAAAAAGAUGAAAGAUGGCAUUCUUAACUGUCUUUCAAUUCCAAGUCUUUUUCCACAGUUCCUGAAAUUAGCCUUUAUCAGUUGGUAACCAGUCAAUUAGGUAGAUCACUGAGGCUUCUUGAACUGCUUAGCAGUUCUGCUUGAUUUAAUAUAGACAAAUUUAUAAAAUUUAGAUAUUCAGCAGGGGUGAAAUCCAGCAGGUUCUGACAGGUUCUGGAGAACCGGUAGCAGAAAUUUUGAGCAGUUCAGAGAACCAUUAGUGGAAAUUUUAAGUAGUUCGGAGAACCGACAAAUACCACCUCUGGAUGGUCCCAGAGUGGGGUGGGAAUGAAGAUUUUGCAAUAUUCUUCCCCAAGGGGUGGGGGGGGAAUGGGGAUUUUGCAGUAUCUUUCCCCUGGAGUGGGAUGGGAAUGGAGAUUUUGCAGUAUUCUUCCCCUGCCAUGCCCACCAAGCCACGCCAACAGAACUGGUAGUAAAAAAAAACUGAUUUUACCACUGAUACUCAGGAUAUUGCCUUAUUAGGAUAAAGUUAAACCAUUACCAAGAUUGCAGUCUGUGCUAGUAUGUGUUUAAAUGCAACAGGGUUUUAUAUUUCUCUUCCUCCUUUUCAGAUUUCCCCUUUUCCCUUUUUGAUAAAAUGAAGUAUGCAAUAACAUUUCAUUAUACCUAAGAAAAAUGACUUUGUGACCACCCAACCCAAUAAAUCUAAAGCCAGAAACAUAUUUUUCAUGCGACCUCUGCAUUGAUACGGUGUCAGACUACCUUGUCACACAGGAAGCUGGAUAUUUUGUGUGUCACAAAAUAUUUGGAUCUAGGAUUGCUACAUUACCUAGCCUCUCAGUGUAGGCUUUCAUAACAAACCUCUCCUUAAGUUUCUUUUAGUAACAGAAAGUCAUUUUUAAAAAAUUAAAAAUCCUAGGUAUGAAAUAAGAUUCACCUAUUAAGGAACAUUUUGGGUUUCUUGCAUCUGAUUAAGAUGUAUAUAACCUCUUUCCUGUUCUUUGCCUUUUUUUGGCUGCAUCAGAGCUUCAAUUGAAAUAUUAAAUAAAUAAGCUGUAUCAGGACUUUGUCCAACUUGACAUUUAACAUAUAUCAUUUUCACAAAACAUGACCAAUGCCUUAAAAUGUAGAAAAUUUACCCACACAGAGACAAACACACUUCAGAUAUUGUAUUUUUUAUGUUCUGAGUGGAAUCCAUAGUCCACUGCAAUGUGUAUCCCCUAAUACUAACUGGCUCCAAGGACUCUAUAUUUGUCAAAAGUGUGAAAUGACUCCCAAAACGUAUUUAUAUACAGUGUACCAAUAAUGUAAUGUUUAAAGCAACCUUAAAAUGCAGCAUGCUUAGACUCUCACACUGCGAAAAUAAGGCAAAUCACUAAUCCUUUAUAAAUGCAGCAAAGAUAUAUAGACCCUUUAUCUUACUUUAUACAAGAUUCCAAUCUUGCAAAGCACACCAUACUCUGAAUUCUUAUUGGCAAUGACAGGCACCUAAUUCAAGUUGCAGGUUAUUAAAUUACAUGGGUUUAUAUGGUUUUUCUCCUAAACCCACUCACAAAAUGCAUUAAUUGCAUGGUUGAAUGAAAAAGUCUCAAGUUAUUUCAUCAUAUUGAGAUGAAAUACAGAUUCUUAAACAUACGAGCAAUUAGAAUCAUACGUGAUACCAAACAUCAUCUAUAUUCUAAUUCAAAAUAGUGAUCUUCAGAAACA